GUUCUGUAGGCGGUUUUGUAAGUAUAUGGUUAAAGGCUCCGGCUCAACCGGAGAGAUGCUGUAUAAACUACAAUGACUAGAGGGUUAUCGGGAGUAUCGGAAUUCUCGGUGGAGGGGUGAAAUCCGUUGAUAUCGAGAGGAACACCAAAGGCGAAGGCAGAUACUUAGGUAACAUCUGACGCUGAUAGACGACAGCUAGGGGAGCGAAAGGGAUUAGAGACCCCUGUAGUCCUAGCCGUAAACGAUGGACACUAGCUGGUGGGAUUUUCUCGCCGGCGUAAGCUAACGCGUUAAGUGUCCCGCCUGGGAAGUACGGCCGCAAGGCUAAAACUCAAAGGAAUUGACGGGGGAGCGCACAACCGGUGGAGCAUGUGGUUUAAUUCGAUACGAAGCGAAAGACCUCACCCAGGUUUGACAUACAACUGCAAAUCCUAGGAAACUAGGACUUCUUCGAGAGUGUUGUACAGCUGUUGCAUGGCUGUCGUAAGUUCGUGUCGUGAGGCGUCCAUUUAAGUAUGGUAACGAACGAAACCCCUAUGCUGUGUUAAAUCUUCACAGCAGACUGCUCUUGAUAGUAUCAAGGGAGGAAGGAGGGGAUGACGUCAAGUCAGCAUGA
rnacentral:rRNA from 1 species